GGCCCCGUAGCUCAGAGGAUAGAGCAGAGGUUUCCUAAACCUUGUGUCGGAGGUUCGAAUCCUCCCGGGGUCG
rnacentral:tRNA from 1 species